AUGUGCAUUGAUGUUACCCUUAAGAAAAUUGAAGGUGCCAUCUCAUUUUUUAAGAAGUAUAGAAAUGAUGGCUUUACAUCCAGUGUGAACAUUGCAAAAUCUAUUGCAUCUGACAUGGAUAUAUACCCAGUAUUUCCUGUAAAACGUCAUGUUAUCAGAAAAAAGCACUUUGACGAAACUAAUGGCAGCAAGUAA
rnacentral:rRNA from 1 species